rnacentral:lncRNA from 10 species
AUGGAGGGGUGUGUGUCUAACCUAAUGGUCUGCAAUCUGGCCUACAGCAGGAAGCUGGAAGAGUUCAAGGAGGGUAUUCUGGCCGAUAAAUCCCUAGCUACUAGAACUGACCAGGACAGCAGAACAGCAUUGCACUAGGCAUGCUCAGCUGGACAUAAAGGAAUUGAUGAAUUUUUGUUGCAACUUGGAGUGCCAGUGAAUGAUAAAGACGAUGCAAGUUGGUCUCCUCUCAAAUUGCGGCUUCUGCUGGCCGGGAUGAGAUUGUAAAAGCCCUUCUGGGAAAAGGUGCUCAAGUGAAUGCUGUCCAUCAAAAUGACUGUACUCCCCUACAUUAUGCAGCUUCCAAAAAUAGGCAUGAGAUUGCUGUCAUGUUACUAGAAGGCAGGGCUAAUCCUCAUGCUAAGGACAUUAUGAGGCUACAGCAUUGCACUAGGCAGCAGCCAAGGGG